rnacentral:rRNA from 1 species
GACGAACGCUGGCGGCGUGCCUAAUACAUGCAAGUCGAACGCAGUGGGGACGGGUGAGUAACACGUGGGUAACCUCCCAUCCGCGGGGAUAACCCUUGGAAACAGGUGCUAAACCGAUCCUGAUGGAUGGACCCGCGGUGCAUUAGCUAGUUGGUGGGGUACCGGCUAACCAAGGCCACGAUGCAUAGCGGACCUGAGAGGUGGAUCGGCAACACUGGGACGGAGAAAGGGCCAAGACUCCUACGGGAGGCAGCAGUAGGGAAUAUUCGGAAAUGGAGGAAAGUCUGACCGAGCAACGCCGCGUGAGUGAAGAAGGUUUUCGGAUCGUAAAACUCUGUUGUUAGAGAAGCGGUAUCUAACCAGAAAGCCACGGCUAACUACGUGCCAGCAGCCGCGGUAAUUC